UGAUUUUUUAAAAUAUAUUUAUAUGAAUGCAUGCAGCUUUGAAAUAGAUUUUACUUAUGUAUAUUUGGCAGCAAUUCACAUGUAGCUCUUCGAAAAAAAAUCACUGGAGCAAAAAAAAAUUUAUAGGCAUAAAGUGAUACCCGUUCUGUCAUCAUCAGUUUUUGGUUUUUAGCUCACCUGAGCUUGCUCAGGGUGAGCUUUAAGGAUCGGUGAAUGUCCGUCGUCCGUCCACAAUUGCUUGUGAACACUCUAGCGGUCGCAUUUUUGCCUCAAUCAUCAUCAAACUUGGUCAGGAUGCUUAUCUAGUUGAAAGCAUGGAUGAGUUCGAACAUGAGUCAUCUCGGAUGAAAGGCUAGGUCACAAGAGCUAAAAAAAAGAAAAACCUUGUGAACACUGUAGAGGUCACAUUUUUGACCCAAUCAUCAUUAAACUUGGUCAGGAUGUUUGCCUAGGUGAUAGCUCGGAUGAGUUCGAACAUGGGUCAUCUCUGAUGAAAAAGUAGGUCACAGGAGCUAUAAAUAGAAACACCCUUGUGAACACUCUAGUGGUCACAUUUUUAAACCAAUCAUCAUCAAACUUGGUCAGAAUGCUUGUCUAGUCAAUUGCUUGGAUGAGUUUGAACAUGGGUCAUCUCUGAUGAAAAACUAGGUCACAGGAGCUAAAAAUAGAAAAACCUUGUGAACACUCUAGUGGUCACAUUUUUGACCCGAUCAUCAUCACACUUUGUCAGGAUGCUUAUCUGGUUGAUAGCUCGGAUGAGUUCGAACAUGGGUCAUUUAGGAUGUAAAACUAGGUCACCGGAGCUAUAAAUAGAAAAACCUUGUUAACACUCUAGCAGUCACAUUUUUGCAUCAAUCAUCAUCAAACUUGGUCAGGAUGCUUAUCUAGUUGAUAUCUUGGAUGAGUUUGAACAUGGGUCAUCUCAGAUGAAAAUGUAGGUCACCGGAGCUAAAAAUAGAAAAACAUUGUUAACAAUCUAGCGGUCACAUUUUUGCAUCAAUCAUCAUCAAAACUUGGUCAAGAUGCUUGUCUAUGUGAUAGCUCGGAUGAGUACAAACAUGGGUCAUCUCGGAUGAAAAAGUAGGUCACAGGAGCUAAAAAUAGAAAAACCUUGUCUACACUCUAGUGGUCACAAUUUUGACUCAAUUGUUAGCAAACUUGGUCAGGAAAACUUGCCUAGGUCAUUGCUGGGAAUAAAUCGAACAUGGGACAUCUCGGAUGAAAAACUAGGUCACAGGAGAUAAAAAUAGAAAAAUCUUGUUAACACUCUAGUGGCUACUGUUGUGAUCCAAAUAUUCUGUUAAUUGGUCUAAAAGUUUGUUUUGAUGAUUUCUAAGUCAAGAUCCAACAUGGGUCAUCUUGGAUGAAAAAACUAGGUCACGCCGCCCAAAUAUGGAAAAGCCUUGUUAACAUUCUACUGGUUACAUUUUCGACUCAAUUAUCAUCAAACUUGUCAGGAUGCUUGUCUAGGUAAUUGCUUGGAUGAGUUCGAAAUCGCAUGUGAAACUAGGUCACCGGAGCUAAAAAAUAGAAAAAUCUUGUUAACACUCUUGUUGCUACUGUUUUGAUCCAAGUAUCCUGGAAAUUGGUCUGACAGUUUGUUUUGAUGAUUUUCUAGGUCAAGUUUGAAUAUGUGUCACCUGAGUAAAAAACAAGGUCGCACUUCUCAAAUAUGGAUAAUCCUUGUUAACACUGUAGUGGUCACAUUUUUGACUCACCUGUCGUGAGACUUGGUCAGAAUGUUUGUCUAGGUAAUUGUUUGGAUGAGUUUGAUAAGUCAGGUGAGCGAUCUAGGGCUAUCAUGGCCCUCUUGUUUUGUAUGGUUUUAUUUAAGAAAUAUUUUGUUCCAGUUAUUUACAGAUGUUUGUAUGAUUAUUGGAUUAAAGUUAAAGUACA